GAUUUCGUUGCGCGCCUGCUCGCCAUCCAUAUUGGAGAGUGCUGCAACGUCGAUCGUCGCGAUGAGGGCGCUGAAGAUUUCCUUCUUCAAGCUGUAAUAUUGUUCGGCGUUCUCGGGUUUCGCAGUUGCCGGAACCUGGGGUGGUUUCCGAACUUGGACAGGGGC
rnacentral:sRNA from 1 species